CUUUUCUGCGUACAGGCUAGGCGGGGUACGGUUGCGAGGAGGAGCCCCCACCCCUUACCUAUUUCAGGAGGCGUUGAAGGUGUCCAGGGAUCGUUCAGCACCGACCAUUGGCUCGUACAGCCAAAAACCCGCUUGAUUGUUUAAUGAUGAAGCCUGUACAGGCUGCUUGAAGCAAGAUAUAAAGCAGGUGUUAGAAGCCUCUGGAAAGUUUGCUGUCAAUUAGUGCAAUUUCCUCUUCCCAACAAAGACUUAAAAGCAGAAUGCAUCUUUUCAGUUAUGUAAAUGCACUUUUUCAUAAAUACUUAUUUUGCGCACACACGCCCCCCCACCCCCUCCCAAAAAAAAAAUAAAUGCCUGUGGGGGCUUGUGUGUCUAGUUAGGGAUUGAUCUAAUCCUGCUCACAUCGACGAGGUUGCGGGAGCAUUCAGGCUGGUGGCAGCCUGGGUCAGUCUGAGCAUGGGUGUCCAAUGCUGCCAUCCCAACACGGGUGUGGGUGCUCCCGGGGGGGGUUCCAGGGCAUUUCUGCACGCCCUGUGCCUGCUUUGCUCUCCGGUGGGCAGCAGAACUGGGACAGGAUAUGUUUUUCAAUUUUGCAAAAUCUUAAUCGAAUAGGAAUUGUCUCUCUGCUACCAAUUUAUUAGGAGAAAACCUUCCCUGCGCCCUCAAAUUUGAGAGGAAUUUACUUGCACCAAGGCCAUGAAGACUAAUCCAUCGCUCCUUCUCUCUGAAGAGCCAGAGGUUUAUUCAGCUUCUGGACUGUGAGCUAAAACUCCUUUGCAGGCAUGGCGGGAUGUGGUUUUUCUUCUCUUCGCUGCAAAGGCUGCGUGCUGGGGAAUAGCACUGCAGUGGGUGAGGCUGGGAGGACCGGGCUUAGCCUUCGUUCUCAAACUGGUGGAUGUCUGGUGGCUUCAGUAGAAGAUGACACUGGCCACUAGGAAUGUGCUUUAAGGGAGGGAAAGCUAAGGGAAACUGUGGGACAUGCUGCUUUUCCAUGGAAUCUUAAAAAUAUUUGGAGAACAAGAAAGCGAUACGGUUUUUGUUUCCAUAUCUCAUUAGUUGCCCAUGGUGGCUGUUAGUGGAUUUAGCUAAUUAUUUUGAGGAAUGUUUUUUCUUUAAUGAAGUCUUUGCGAUUCAAAAACCAUUCAGAUAUUUUUUUUUUUAUUUUUUCCCCUAUUCAAGUACCUAAAGUUAAGCAAAUUCUGGGUGUAUUUACCUGCAUGUACUCAAGCUUAUGACUACCCCAAUGCCAGUUGAGCCCUUUCCAUCAACAGCAUGAUCCCGUGUUUCCCCAUUACCUUGCCCCAAAAUGGGCCGAAGAGCUGCGUAUGGAUAGGACACUACACCCGGUCUCCAGGAGUGUUGUUUCAAAUCUUCCUGCGGUCACUGACUUUCUAGGUUACCUGUUAAAUUUGGCUUGUGCCCGUUUGUCUUUUCCUGCUGCAUCGAGGGCUUGGCAAGCCGGGGCCACCGACCGAGUGUCAAGCGGUUGGAUGCCGUGGUGACAAGGGCCACGUUUGUGCCCAGGGAACACAGCGUUUAGGGCGAGCUCUAGCCCUGCAAAACAGACAUGUUGAAGAACACAUCAUGUAUGAGUCUCUUUUAAGUGCCCCCAAAAUUUACUCCAGAAAUUGCCAGCAUCUCACCAGCAAUCGAAGCUUCCCAUGGGGACCGCUCCAAAGCGUGCCGAGCUUGGCUCGCUCUCUGCUCUGUAAGUUAGCCGAGGAAUGACUUCCAGAGCCCCGCUGUGCUGCUUCUGCUCUUGUAUUUGCAGGAAUCGCAGCAAGAAUAAAGGAUCCACCGAGGGCUGCUAAACACGGACUUAACCCCUUGGGAGGGGUCCGAGCUACAAGUCACCGCAAGGACUGAUGCUGCAGUACAUGCAUGAUGACACAGAAAGCCUAGAGGAUAGUUUUACCGUGCAGCUGACAGAUGGCAAGCGCACAGUCCAAGGGACACUUUACAUCUACAUCAUGCCAGUCAACGAUGAAAUCCCUCAUCUUUCCAGGUCCAAAGCCAAUUGAAGGCAGGAAGAUCACGUUCCUUUCAAGAGAGCCAAAGUGCCACCUCUGGGGAUACGGCUUCACAGAAAGAGAGGGGAGCUAUGUGGAGAGUAAUAUUAAUUAAUUGUCUCUGUUCAUGAGAGGUAAAGUCCUUCU